UUCAUGGCUAUCAAUGGCUGGUUGGAGGUGGCGACGACCGGCGGAGGACUGAGGAAUAGUCUUGGUGUUGUGCAGCUAGCGUUCAAAAAAGGGUCGACUUGUUUUAAUUUGUGAAUCUUCUUGUGAUUUGUGAAAGAGUGAAGGGAAGGGAAGAAUAAGACACUACAAGAAUUUUAUGUUUUCCCUACAAAAUUUAUUUUUAAGGACACGAUUUUAUUUGUUGCAGACAAAAAAGAUUUGUAGGGACAAUUAUGGAGCAAACAUCCAGGGGAUAGACUUUAGCCUAUAAAAUUUUGAAAUUUGUGGGCAAAAAUUUUUCCCUACAAACCCUUCGGAGAUGAAUACAAUACAUUGCAUAAAUUCUCCCCCGACAAAAUUAUUCGUCUGUUAAAAUUAAUUUUGCCUACAAAACAAUAUCGAUUUUCCCUACAAAUUAUCUUGUGGGCUAAAUCUUGCCUUUCCCUACAAAAAUUUUUGUCUGAAAAAAAAAAUAUUUGUCAACUAAAAUAUCUACAUUUUCCAAACAAUUUAAACUUUGUGACAACAUGGUAUAUAUUAUUUUGUAGGCUAAACCCUGUUUUUCUCUAUAAAUAAUUUUUCGUAGUAAAAACAUAUUUAUAGGCUAUUAUGAAAGAAUUCAUAGGGAGAAAUUAAAUUAUUU
rnacentral:lncRNA from 1 species